rnacentral:rRNA from 1 species
UGAUCCAGCCAUCCGGCGUGUAUCAUGAAGCCCUUCGGGUUGUAAAGUUCUUUAGGCAGAGAAGAAAAGGUCUCCCUUAAUACGGGAUGAUAAUGACGGUAUCUGCAGAAUAAGCCCCGGCUAACUACGUGCCAUCAGCCGCGGUAAUACGUAUGGGGCAAGCGUUAAUCGGAAUUACUGGGCGUAAAGGGUGCGUAGGCGGUUCGGAAAGGAAGAUGUGAAAUCCCAGGGCUCAACCUUGGAACUGCAUUUUUAACUGCCGAUCUAGAGUAUGUCAGAGGGAGGUAGAAUUCCGAGUGUAGCAAUGAAAUUCGUAGAUAUUCGGAGGAACACCGAUGGCGAAGGCAGCCUCCUGGGAUAAUACUGACGCUCAGCAAUAAAGCGUGGGGAGCAAACAGGAUUAGAUACCCUGGUAGUCCACGCCCUAAACGAUGUCAACUAACUGUUGGGGCCCUUAGGCCUUAGUAGCGCAGCUUACCCGUGAAGUUGACCGCCUGGGGAGUG